AGCACCUGCUAUUUCUGAAGAUGAAUCUGUAACCAGCUCUUCCAGCAAACCCAGUCCUGUUAAUUCCUGGCCUACAUCAGAUGACACUGACUUUCUUCUGGAUAACAAGAAGCAGAAAGGCCAAAAAUUAUAAGGCUGGAAAAUGGUAAGUUUGUUCUUGUAAAAACACAAGAAGAGCAAACAGCCAAAAAUAUGACUAAUGUGGAUGAAGAGAAGAAAACUCCUCAAACUGAUACUGUGUUGCCACUGGAAGCACAGACAGAUGAUGAAUCUCCUUGGGAUUCUGAGAAUCUUCCACAGCAGCCUGUCGAUCCUUUUCCUGGGGAUGCAGAUGAUGGAGGAAAACAUGCAGGAAAUACACAAACAAAAGAUUUACCUGACACACAUCUUCACUUGAAGAUAAUGACUGUAUAUUUGUGUUCUGAAUCAACUUCACAUUUUGGAGCUGUGGAGUGUUCAUUAAGCAUUUGACUUUAAAACCCA